GCUCGGCUGGCUCAGUUGGAAGAGCAUGGGACCCUUGAUCUUAGGGCUGUGAGUUCAAGUCCUACCCUGGGUG
rnacentral:tRNA from 1 species